AUUCAGAAUCGUGAUUCCGCUUUCGUAUAUCUUCGGUCAGUUUCUUAUUUUCCCUCGGUGUCCAUCAUCGAUGUAUUAAGUCAGGAGGAACAAAUAAUUUCGGCAAAUACGUAUGUGAUUCAUCGUGUCGUCGCCAGAGAAUUCAAGUUUAACACACCCACACGAUUCACCGUUGCGCUAUUGAUUCACUUGAUCUGGUAGUUUGCUCUCCAAACAGAGCAAGACAAAUAUCUCGACACGCGUUGUUACAUAUUUGUUACAUAGAAAAUCCGUGCAACUUUCCAUGAAGCAAGAAUUAAACAAAUAGAAGGGGUAAUCAAGCUGAAAUUUUCAUCGCAGUAGAGAAUUGGUUCGGAUGAAUUAACAACAUAACACGGAUCUUAAUUGGCUCAAUUAACGAAGUUGUAUGGGCGUGAUCAACGCCGUUAUUAAACCGAAUGAACGCGAAUAUUAGCCGCGACGAGAAAUUCCGUCACGUGGUUCUCCAUUCUUUCGUGCUUUCCACCCUCAAUUGUCGCAGCCAGCCGCAUGGUUUUCGACUCGUGACUCGUCACCGAUGCUAUUUAAUCCUCCGUCACAUGAGAACGUGUCAUCACAUGAUCGAGAGCAGGCGUAUGUGACGCGUCCACGCAAUUAAUUUCGAAAACUAUCCGGUUUAAGGGAGUAUUUUUAUUAUUAUUUUUAUGGUGAAAGGGGGGGAAAAAAAAUCGUUCUUCAAGAAUUGUUUGGAGGAAAAAUACAAAGCUAUUAAAAUCUCGGCUUAUUGUCAAGAGCGGUUAGACAACGCAAUAGAAGGAAGUGGAGGCAAACCUCUCGCAAAUUGUCUACGAGAACAUAACCUAAUAGUCUCGGUGAGCCACGUGUACAAUAUUGUUUAUACUCGUUCGGCGGAUGUACCUAUUCACCGAAGUGACUUCUUGAUUUUUGUAUAAACAAGAACCGAAAUGUCUGUAUGCUUAAGUGUCAAGCGAAUGAUUUGCUUCGUCUUUCGUCUUUUUUUUUUAUUCACUUAACAUGCUAGUUUUUUUUUCCUUUUUUUUUAAUAUUACUUUUGUUUCGUUUAGGAAUUUCGUUUAGAAAAAAUAUCGUUUACGAAUUUUUUUUCUUCCAAGGCCAUUGGCCACGUGGCCAAUUUUUUCGAACAAGCAUCUAUCUAAAUCUGCCUUUAACGUGCGUUCCGGGAAUACCGAAUGAUUUGUCGCAAUCGUUUCUUCACGCGUACCGAAUAUAUACGUACAAGCGUAUUAUUUAUUAUUUCCCAUUGCCUAUCCAUUUAAAAUGGAAAGGGUAUUAUGACGAAGCAAAAUAUAUAUAUAGGUAAUGCAACAUUGCCAGUUACCGAUAGUUUUCGAUGUUCAUCACGUAUCAGAGUAUAAAGAAUGCAGUCUUAAGAAUGUUAUUAGAAGAGUUUAAAUCAUGUUUUAAUGGAGUUAAUAAAAUGGAUAGUAAUAUAAAAAUAUUCGAACAUUUAUUAUAUAUAGAAAAUACUUUUGAAUGUAAAAUAUGACAAAUAUCAAGUAGAUAUGAUUAUCAAAAAUUUACGAUAUAUAAAUUUUUUUUAAAUUUGAUAAUUAUUUGAAAAAUUGAAAAAUAUAUAUUUUCGUUAUAAAAUGUUUAUUACAAACAUAAGCUUCAAGAUUAUAAUUAAUUUUAAAGAUAAAUUUUAAAUAAUUAAUAAUAAUUUUUAUUAAUCCUUGAAUGGCUGAACAUUGUUAUAACUUUACUAUUAUAAAUAAUUUUUCUAACAAAAUAUAUAUUAACAAAAUUUACAUUAGAAAAUAUUUCAAGAAAAAAAAAAUAAUUUAAAAGAAAUGAAAAUAAAUUAAAAUAUAAUUAUUUAUUUUCUACCUAAAGUUAAAUAAAAAUUACGCGUUUAAAUACUUUUAUAAACUUUUAUACAUUUUAUUUCAAGUAUUUUUACAAUUUAUAAUUUUAAUGUAUUUAUUAUGUAUCUAUAACGUAUCUGUACUAAUAAUAUUUAAAAAAUGUAUAUAUAAUGUAAAUAAAGUUUAUUUUAUAUUUAUAAAAUUUUUUUGUAGAUAAUAUAUCAAAUAUUUUUGUGGGUCAUUGUACAUAUUAUGCAAUCAAUCAUUAUAUGAUGAUUAAUAUUUUAAAAUAUUUUAAAUAUCUUCAUCUUGAUUUAUGAAAUUUAAAUUUUUAAUUCCAAUUGUAUAUAAAUAUCUAAAAUAAUUUAUUUAAAGAAAUUUAUAUGAAAGUUAAUCAUUAACUAUAGCUAUUAAAUUAUUCUAUUAUUAAUGAUAUUUUAUGAAAAAACUCGACAAUUUAUAAAUAUUUAUAUUAUAAUUGCUUAAUUGCUAAUCAUAAAUUUGUUUAUCUUCAAGAAAUAUACAUCAAUUCACAGAUCUAUAGAGAUCUAUAAUAUAUAUAUAUAGAAUUAUAAAAAGAAUUAGCAUUUUUAACAUAGUAUAGAUUUUAUGAAUAAAUUCAUGAUUAAAUCACAAAAUAUUUUUAAUAUUUUUAAUAAAUCAUUUAAUAAUUCUUUUAUAUAGAAUUAAUGAAAAAGAAGUCAUUAAUAUAUAUACUUUAACAAUAAAAUAGAUUCAAAAAAUUCAAAAAAUAAAUUCAAAAAAUAUAUUACAAAUUAGAAAUUUUUUUAAAUUAUCUUAUUCAAAUUAAUUUAAUAUAUAAUUUAGAAUUUAUAAAACGCGAAAAUAUUUAUUAUUGGAAUUAUUGGAAGAAUAUCACAAUUAAUAUAUACAUUAAAUUUUUUAAAUUUAUAAUAUAUAAAUUUAUAUAUAACGAAGUAUUUCAUUAUACAUAACUAUUUCAUUAUAUCAUUAUCUAUAUAUAUAUGUAUAUAUAUAUAUUCAUAUUUAAUCAGCAUAAUUUUUAUUGUAUAGGUUAACUUAGGUUAUAUGUAGUUAACUGAAUAAAAAAAUAAUAAGCGAAUGCACACAUAUAAUCUAUAGAAUUCUAAAAUUUGAAAUGUCAGUCCGUUCAACGGUUUAUUCUAAAAUAUGUAAAUCCAGUUCAACUGGCUUUGUCAAGAAUACAUUAACUCGACCAUUCUGCGUAUACAUUUUAGUUGCACACGUGUGUUACAAACAUAUAUUUCGAUGUACUGUACAAUGUACGAUAUAAUACUAUACGUAUUGUACAUAAUGAACAUAGUUUUAUUGAAAUUAAUUUUAUGUGUACAUACAUUUAUGUAGAAAAAAAGAAAAAUAUAACUAUAGUUAUGUGCACAUGUGCAUACAAUAUACUAUAUGUAACACGGUGUUGAACGUCAGCGCAUGUCACGUUUCAAAGUUUGAAAAAUAAGCAAAAGAUUUCGUUUUUUAAUGUAAACUUUUGCAAAGAAUAUGUUUGUAUGUAAUAUGAAUGUUACAACAAUAGCUCUUUUCAUAAAAAAUGAUAACAGCGUACUAUUUUAAUAAGAUGUCUGUAACCAAUAAAAUCGAAUAUGCGAUAAUCCAACAUCGAAAUAUUAGUCAGUAUGUUAUCAAUUGUGUUACUAAUAAUUAUAAAUUACUGUAAUUAUGGUAAAACACAAUUAAGAUAAGAAUUAUAAUACCAUUGAGUGAUAAUUCAUAAGUAAUUAUAUUACCGGAAAAUUGUCAACAGAUCGAGUAUCAAAUGAUAAAAACUAAAAUGGCGAUUAAUUACUGAUACAUAUAAUCAAAUACGACGAAACAAUAUAUUUUAAUAAUAUAUAAAAGUUAAACACAAAGUUAUUACUCUCGAAAUGUUGAUCGAAUCUUCUGGAUUAAAGAAAACCUUUCACUUGAUGAGCAUGCAACGAUCGAUCGGAAAAGAAAAAUCGAAAUGUUUACAUACCCUUGUAUGAGAUCGAUACGCGUCGAGCCGUUCCUAGAGCUAGUGUGGCCGUCUGGCCUCGAUCAAAAAAAAAAAGACGGUUUGAAUGCUAUGUGCCAGUAAUUUCUUCGUUACUUCUAACCACUGGAACGUACAGUCAUUGUUUUCAAGCGACAACGCGUUGCCAGGGGUCUACUAGAGGCUGUGUGUAACAACUUUUUUUGAACCGGUACACACACGUUUACGAAGCGACGCACGAGAAUCGUGUUCGCGAAAGCACCGUCUCUGACAGACUGUUCGGAACUGCUCGGUUCGAGUCUCUCUGGACGUCGUUUACGACUUCCCUGGGGAAACGUUACUCGGUCUUUCUUUAACGCCGGCCGGUGGACGCGAACCAGAAGAGAGACAGAGAGAAAGAAAAGGAAAGAAUGAAACGGAAUCAAAUUUCUACGCCGACCAAUCAUGGCGCUUCGCUGUUUAUCGCGCGAAAACCUCCGAACUGGUGUAGUUUAAAGCCUGUUACGCACUGUCGUUCUCUCAAAUUUGUGCCUCUAUACACAGGGGUGAUUUUUUUUUCCUAAUUGUAAUUAAUUACAGUUAUUUUUAAUCAAAAUCGUUUUUUUAAUAGAUUUUUUUAAUAGCAAGUUAAAAAUUUAAAUUUUGUAUUAUAAUCAUGUAUUAUAUAAGUAUUUAAAAUUAUCUUUAAUUUUAUUGUUAAAUUAGAUACAACGGAUUUUCAUUUAAAAUGUGUUUUAUUUGUUCUCGUAUAGAUGGCCGAUGUAUGUAGUUGAUGACCAAUCUUUGAUUUAACAGACAUAAUGUAUAUGUAAUUCAAUUGCAGUGAAAAAUGAACAUUUUUAAAAAACAAAAUUAAUCAAUUUUAUAACAAUAUUGAAAUUGUUAUGAAUUAAAGCUCAUGAUUAUUUUAUAUUUUUAUAAAUGAAAUAAAAAUUCAUUGAUUUCAAAAAUAUUUGCAAAGGACACAUAUAUUUAUAUUAUAAUUAUUAUUUUACGUGAUCUCAAACUACGAUUUUACGUAAAAAUUAUAGCUUUUUUUAUGCAUGCUGAAAUGUAUGUUUAUAUUUACAGAUAACAGAACAAUCAGUUUAUAUAGUCAUUUACCUUUCGCUUAUCAAGAUUUAACAGUUAUCGUUUAAUCAAUAAAUAUUAUAUAAUUAUCAUAUUUUUUAAAGAUAUAAUUUUAAAAUAUUUCUAUAAAUAAAAAUAAACGUAAAAUUAAUAUGAUUAUUCCGAUAGUUUUUUCUUUAAUUACGUAUUAUUUACGAUUUUGCAUACAAUCAAAUAAAUUAUGCGAUAUAAUUAUAAAAAAACAUUAAUUAAUUGACAAAAAUAAAGCAAUUUUUAAAAAAUAAAAAUUAAUUUUCUUAUAUAUAUAUAUAUCUUUUUUCUCUACAAAAUUCAGAUUUGAACAAAAAUAAAAUAUAAAAACAAAGCUUUUUUUAAUUUAAAUAUUAUAUUUUUUUGAAUUGAUUUUAUUAAUAAAUAAUACGACACUUUUUUAUCGUGUCUUAUGUAAAGAAAGGUAUAAUGGGGAAACGUAAAACAAUCUGGCUCGUUGCAAAAAAUGUACAUUACGUUUAUUGAUGGUAGCUCGCGAAGCUCCUCGUGAAUAUCGAGUGAUUACAAAGAGGCGCUUGAUUUAAAGGGUCGAGUAAUUUACGAAGCAACACGUGAUACGCUAGUACACGAUCGUUCCGUAAGGACUCAAAUCAUGUCCUUUGUUGCAUUUUUUUCAUUCCUUUUUUCUUUUUUUUUUUCUUUUUUUUUUUUAACAAGGAAAAAGUCCGCUACGGACUAUAGAAAUCGCUAUGAUGUCUAUAUCGUUUUUCGAUAUCGCGUUUGUCCUCUUUUCAAUUAUUAUUUCAUUCCUCCCUCGUCUCAAUCGAAGAGAUAAGGAGGAAUGAAAAACGGAAUAAUAUUGGAUAACGGGAGAUGAAUACACGAAAUAUUAAUAUUUUCAUCCGAUUGAUACAGGCAAAAUGCUCUACGGUAAGGACAGCGACCGUUUAUAUUAGUACUCUGUGUGUGGUAAUAUUUAUAUAUAUAUAUAUAUAUAUAAUAUAUAUUUCAACGUACAAACUAUAUUGUACCUUAAUAACCUCUAAACGCAUGGGUACAAGGAUAAUAUUUACACAGCCUAGAACCACUUGACACGGUCCAGGAUUACGCGAUAUACCAUUUUUCAAAGAGGUCCAAAGAUUUGACAAUCGGUCUAACCUAACCUCCUUGUUCUAAAUUGAACGUGAUAAUACGCAAUCAUUUAACGGUGUGACAAGUAUUUUUCACGUUCCUAUCAACUAGUUAUCAACAUUUAUACAUAAUACAACCAGGUUCCUCGCACGCACGCACUCUCAGCCCCACUCGUAGGAUUGCGUAACGUUUUUUUUCUUUUUUUUCGUUCGAUUCUCUCGUAACAUAACCCCAUUUUAGCGGAUGGUCGGUUAAUUCGUGUAUUAUGUAAAUAUCAAACAAAUUAUCGCUCAAAUCUAUCAUGAUGUAUACUCGUCAAUGAAAAAUACUUUCUUUAUAAUGAAACAUUUUUGUGGAAAAAACUCUCAAUCGCUCUCUCUCACUCAGUUAUAUAGCUCGAUAAAAAUACCCUGAAGAUGUACAGAUCGUUAAAUAGACGAUUACAUAACAAAUGAAUGAACAAUCAAGUGAGAAAAAUAUGAUUUCGAUUUGUACUUGGAAAUGAUACGAAGACAUUUCGUAAGUAGAUAGUAUAAUCGAAAUAGAAAGAGAAAAAAAAAUCUUUACUACGUAAUACAUAAAAUAACGGGGUUCUUUUUUUUUUUUUUUUUUUUUUUAUAGUCAAAUUCGAUAAAAAUUUCCUGACGCUGCACAUUCCUACUGUGAUCGGGGUGCACCGCUGUAUUUCUAGAUCUUUUACGUACAAAGAAGCGUUUUUGCGCGGAUUCUCAAAUUUAUGUGUACAUUUUGUAUAUAAUUCAAUAUCUUGAGAAUCUCACUGUUCAGUUAUUAUUUAAAUAAAAUAACGGUGAACACUGAUGUACGAUUAUGUAAAGUGACGCGCAUCGUUAUUCUUAUCACGGACGUUUCUUUGUGCGUAAAAGUGCAAAAGGACGCAAGGUGACAUGGCACGAUACCUUAAUCAUUAAAAAAAAAAAAAAAACGAAAAUGAAAAGAGAAGGAGGAAACGAAUCGAUAAAACCGUGCUUAACCUUUAAAACUUGAAACGUUUUACAUUUUCUUCUCAUUGUGAAUAUCAAAUAAUUAUUGAUUCUUUACUGUGUUACUAUGAAUUAUCAAAGUUAGCUAAAAGAAAAUUUAUAAUCAAAUACUUUUGUAUUAACAAACAUUAAAAUUGUGUUUGCAAAUACGAGUACAGUAAAUGUAAGACGUGUCAAAAAAAAGAUUUCUAAUACGCCUGUUUCUAUACCUAUUUACAUGGCGCCUGUAAAUGGACGCCCGGAAUCUGGGAUAAUUGUAAUUUGUGAAUUACGCACGCUAAUGAAGUUAUCGUCGAUGAUCGCAAUUGUUCGUCGAUAAAGCGUCUUUCAAUUAUGAGGCUCGUAUUUUUAUUUAAUUAAUGACUUCGUAUUCACUAUAGACACGCUUUGUGCGAUUAAUUUUUUUAUUCAAACGCAUUGAGAUUUAAAAGAUUUUAUAUCUUAAAUAAACUUAUAAUGAUACAAUUAUUAUACAAAAAAAUAUUAUACAAAAUAUUUAUUCAUUCUAAAAAUAGGCCUUAAUUUUAAUUUUAUUUCAUAUAAAAUUUUAUAUUUUAUUAAAAAAAAUUGUUAAUAAUGCAAUUGAAAUCUUGAAUAAAUUGAAUAUAAAUUACAUUCUUAUAGCGUGAAAUAAAAAAAAUAAGAUUAUGAUAUGUAGAACAAUGACGAUACGUGUCUACUUUCAUACGAAGUUUAAUACGAGCCUUUAACGCAAAAAAAAUUGACAAAUUUGUUUCGUUUUAAUCGCAAUGUGUUUCUCUCUGCAACAAUCAGUGCCCUUGGAACAGUGCACAUCUUGUAGUUAUAUGUGUUAUAUUAAAAUAAGAGUAUAAAAUUAUAAAACUAUCAACAAAUGUACAUAUCAAUAGAAAAAGUCUCAAAAAUAAUAAAAUUCCAAGAAACGAGGAAGGAAACGAUAGGACUUUCGACUUUUAGGUUUGAAUUGGAAUUCUGAUCUUUUUCUCAUUUUUAGACAAAAUAAAAGAACAGAAUUGUAAAAAAUUAUAGGUAGGCUAAUGAUAAUCUAUAUAUUCUCAAUAUUUUACUCGUUGUAAUCUGAAUUCAUUCGUUUCCUUUUUCUUAAUUUGAGAAUCAAUAAUCUGUUUUAAGAGAGAAUACAAUAUAACUACAUACAAUACAAUGUAAUCUGUAAGAGAUAAAAAAAUUGAUUAGCGAAAUUAUGUUGUAUAUAAUGAAAUUUUAGAUACGAAAAUUAAAUGAAAAUUUCAGUUAAUGAAUAAAAUAAAACACAAAGAUAAUUUUCAUCGAUCAAAUUUUGAAGUUAAAAUAAGUAUUCCAAUAUUUUGUAAAGUAUAACGUAAAAAAUAAAAUAUGAUCAUCGAUUCGAUUAAUUCUAACCUAAAAGUCGAUUAUCAUCGUAGUAUUGUUGAUUUACAUAGACUUUGAGCUUUAGUCAAAUAGACCAGUUUCACAAAUAGAAUGCAUUUGUGCAUAAAAGGUAAGAAGAAAAAGAAAGUUAGCGCAUAUGUAAAUUUUUGGCGCGUAUAUUCACCGAUAUUUAUAGUUCGAGGGUAACUUUUCCAUAUAGACUAAAGUUUGAAAUUGCAGAGUAAGACGCAUCGAUACUAUCUACUUCGAUUGUAUAUUUGCUUGAAUGCUUUGUGCUAUCGUAUUCCUUGCUUUUUAUUUUAAAUGUUAUCCAAAAGACUUUGUUCUAAAUAGUUUCACUUUCUAUAUUAUCGUUCGUAUAAACGAUCUAAAACCCUGAGAUGCGAAUUCGCCUUACUGUUGUCCUGGUCUCUUUUUUUUAUGGAAAAAUUGGCCAAGUAAUUGGGUUUCCAGAUGGUUUUUAAAGUGUACCCUCUCAGCACGUAAUAAAUCAUUUUUUAAUUUCACAAAGUUAAAAAUAUAUUAUUCUAUGUACUUUUUUUUUCAAGAUGAAAAAAAAGAAAAAUAUUUUUAUGGACGUUAAUAUAAAAAAGAAGUACAUUGGAAUAAAUAUCAUACCGUAUUUCAAAUUUAUUACGUGCUGUAGAAUAUAAUAUAAAUAUUUUAAAACGUAUAAAAGUGCGAUGUUGUGCGCAACGCAGCUAAAUAUAAUUAAACUUGUUGCUAAUUUGAAAUCACUCGGUCAUAUUUUCAAAUCGAUUCAUAUGAAAUCGUUGUAAGAUAUCAACAACAUAGAAAUUUGUUUAAACGAAAUGUAUAAUAAUAAAAUUAGUUAGUCAGAGCGAUAGCGAACUGCAUAUGCUUUUCCAGCAACAAUAUAUUAGAAAAAAUGUUAAUAGUUAAAACUUUUUUACUUUAAAACGUUACAAUAGUAUGAUUAUGUUAACUAACCAUUACUUUACGUAGUAAAAAAUUGUUAAGCUACACGACUCUACGAUAAAGUGUAUCAAAUUCAUUUACUUUUUCUAAUAGACAUAGUUAUAUAUACCUGUACGUAGUUUGUUGGAAUAAUUAUUCACAUUUUCAUAGAGUGUAAUUUCUUAUGUAAUGAAAUAUACUCGUUAAAGUUUCGUUUCUGUUAAAAUAAUAUUUUCCAUUUUUCAUCUUGUAAAAAAGCUCACUACCGUUCUGAUGUCGUUGAUAAAUAAUGAAUGAUAUUCGUCAUUUUAACAUUCAGAUAAUAUAAUGUAUAAAAGCACGAUUUUAGCGAAAACAGCUGAAUCAUGUCCGAGCUGUAUACUUGUCCGUGGCAGUCUGAAGUUUUAAGAUAUUGAAAAUUAAUUUCAUAUAUACAGCGAAUCAAAACAAUAUUAGCACACAUUCUUGUCUUGAAAUAUUUUUAUAUAUGAUACAUGAUUGCAAUGAUAUAUAUUAAUACAAACGUACAUUUAAUAUUUUUCAAUAUAUGGAACUAAGAUAUACUUUCAAAUCUUUCAAUUAUAUUAAAGAAGAUAAAAAAAGAAAAAUAUUGGCACACUUGUAAUUAUUCAUAAUUAUUUGUACGUAUAUUUUGGAAAGAUGUCAUUACACGCUUUAAUAUUAAAAGCACGCACACAAAAUAACAUUUGUUUUAUAAAAAAACAAUUUAAAUAAUUAUAAAUUUUCAGAAUUGAAAGUUUUGAAUAUAUACUAAUUUUAUAUAUUAAAACGUAUUAAAGAAUAUAUUUCGUAUUAAUGUUACUUUUGUUUGAUAUUUCAAAGAAAAAAAAAGAUGUGCAAAUAUUUUGUUGAUUCACUAUACUUUCUUUUCUUUUUUUGUGGCUUUAGAAUCGUUAAUAUUGUGCAAUUAAAUGUAAAUCUCGUUACUCUUUUAAGUCUUUUAAUAAUGCUUCGAAUGUCGUCUCAAGAUUAUCGUUAUUUGAAGCAGAAUUCUUCAUUGGUGACUUUUUAUGAAUAAAUUGUUUGUCGGAAUAUAUAAAGCGGUUUUUUAUAUCGUCCCUGUUUCUCAAUUAUAAAAUUAUAUAUCUAAUAGUUGUUCAUAUAAUGAUUAUUUCUAAUACAGAAAGUGUGAUUGAUGAUUAUUUCUAAUACUUUCUGUUACUAAUGAUAAAGAUUGGUGAUAACCGAGUGUUGAAAAUUUCGAAGUAUUACAAACUUUCUUACUCUUCUUUAACGUAUUAACGAGAUAAAAAAUUUAAAUAUACGCGUUCUUUUUACAAAAGAAGAAUAUAAAUUGUUUAGGGACGACGUUCGCUUUAAAAAUACGUUGAGUCCUUGUAAUAUAUUCCAGUUUCUCCAUAGGAAAGUCGACUUCCAUGAGAAAGAAUAAAAAUUUGAAAUGCAGCUUAUGAUUUCGAAUCGGGAGUACCUACGUGUCGACAUGGGAGUAAAAACACGACUGGAAACUACGAUACCAGUCUUUUUUCGUUCAGUAGAUAAUGCAUUUUCUGCGUUUUCCGCUCACAUAUUGUAUGCCACGUAGAUUGGAUCGAGUUGGUCCGCUAGAAAACCAUCACGCAAGUGCAUUCGUUGCUUCUCACCACGCGAAUUUAUUGGAACUACUCCAGGAUCCACCACGACCACUACACCGACUACCAGAUGAUGUUCUUCUAGAACAGCGCUGGUAACCAAUGCCACGAGAUCUAAAGCUUCGCUUUCACUUCCGUCAAGUUCCACCACUACUACUAGGAGGUUGGUCCAUGUAAAUACGGCACUGUGAAUUGUAUAAAUAUUUUGUAUUCACAACCAAGAGAAGAAUUAUGGAUUAUAUUUUGGAUUAUAUUUAUAAUAUUGCUUCUUUCUUAUUGUUAUUAAUAAUAUUAUCGUAAUAAUUGACUUACAAUUUUUGAACACGUUUACAUUUACAUACACUUACCAUUCUGCUAUUUUCUUAUGACAUCUCAUCACGCUAUUCUCAAUGUCUAUCGGAUGAUAUCGCAUUCCUCUGAGUAGAAUGGCCUCAUCGAGGGCACCAACUACGAACACAGCAUCAUGUAAUUCAGAAUCGCCAGGAACAAGAUCCGCUUCGGCAGAAGUAUCGCCGGGAAUAUCACUGAUAACCGAUUGCUGAACGCUUUCGGUACGUCUUAAGAAACCAAGAUAACCAGUUCUGGCGUAAACUUCAUUUGUAUUCCCAGUUACGAGACGGGCAUUGAAGUGGUCAGCGUAAUCGCUCUCGUCACCGUAUAUCGUGAAAUAGCCACUGGCAUUAUGAGCAGAUUGCACCCAAAUUUCUCCCAAAUGAGAAUCUCCGCAUUGUCCUUUCGUUUCCGGAUUGGCAAUAAUCACCUUCACUCCGGGUAGUAAUUUACCUGAUUCCAUCAGGCAUAAAGAAUGUGGACUACCUCUUUCAACUAGAGAUACUCGGUCAUUGCGCAAUGCGCGGAGAUCAACGUAUACUGUAGAAGGUUCUGGACUCGAUGCACCCUGU